UACAGAGGGUGCAAGCGUUAAUCGGAAUUACUGGGCGUAAAGCGCGCGUAGGUGGUUCGUUAAGUUGGAUGUGAAAGCCCCGGGCUCAACCUGGGAACUGCAUUCAAAACUGACGAGCUAGAGUAUGGUAGAGGGUGGUGGAAUUUCCUGUGUAGCGGUGAAAUGCGUAGAUAUAGGAAGGAACACCAGUGGCGAAGGCGACCACCUGGACUGAUACUGACACUGAGGUGCGAAAGCGUGGGGAGCAAACAGG
rnacentral:rRNA from 2 species